GCAACGGAUAUCUAGGCUCUKGCAUCGAUGAAGAACGUAGCGAAAUGCGAUACUUGGUGUGAAUUGCAGAAUCCCGUGAACCAUCGAGUUUUUAAA
rnacentral:rRNA from 1 species